UCGGGAGGCAGCAGUGGGGAAUAUUGCACAAUGGGCGAAAGCCUGAUGCAGCGACGCCGCGUGAGGGAUGACGGCCUUCGGGUUGUAAACCUCUUUCAGUAGGGAAGAAGCGAAAGUGACGGUACCUGCAGAAGAAGCGCCGGCUAACUACGUGCCAGCAGCCGCGGUAAUACGUAGGGCGCAAGCGUUAUCCGGAAUUAUUGGGCGUAAAGAGCUCGUAGGCGGUUUGUCGCGUCUGCCGUGAAAGUCCGGGGCUCAACUCCGGAUCUGCGGUGGGUACGGGCAGACUAGAGUGAUGUAGGGGAGACUGGAAUUCCUGGUGUAGCGGUGAAAUGCGCAGAUAUCAGGAGGAACACCGAUGGCGAAGGCAGGUCUCUGGGCAUUAACUGACGCUGAGGAGCGAAAGCAUGGGGAGCGAACAGGAUUAGAUACCCUGGUAGUCCAUGCCGUAAACGUUGGGCACUAGGUGUGGGGGACAUUCCACGUUUUCCGCGCCGUAGCUAACGCA
rnacentral:rRNA from 2 species